rnacentral:rRNA from 1 species
GAUGAACGCUAGCGGCAGGCCUAAUACAUGCAAGUCGAACGGAUAUAUGUUUUUCGGAAUAUAUAUUAGUGGCGCACGGGUGAGUAACACGUACAUAACUUGCCCUCAAGCGGGGGAUAGCCUUGGGAAACUGAGAGUAAUACCCCAUAGAAUUAUUGGACGGCAUCGUUUGAUAAUUAAAACUACGGUGCUUGGGGAUAGAUGUGCGUCUGAUUAGCUAGUUGGUGAGGUAAGGGCUCACCAAGGCGACGAUCAGUAGGGGGCGUGAGAGCGUGGCCCCCCCACACGGGUACUGAGACACGGACCCGACUCCUACGGGAGGCAGCAGUAAGGAAUAUUGGUCAAUGGAGGGAACUCUGAACCAGCCAUGCCGCGUGAAGGAUGACGGCCCUCUGGGUUGUAAACUUCUUUUGGAUGGGGCGAAAAAACGGGNUUUAUCCUGGACUGACGGUACCAUCAGAAUAAGCACCGGCUAACUCCGUGCCAGCAGCCGCCGGUAAUGUAGUCGUG